rnacentral:rRNA from 1 species
UACAAUGGCGUAAACAAAGGGAAGCGAGACGGUGACGUUAAGCAAAUCCCAGAAAUAACGUCCCAGUUCGGAUUGUAGUCUGCAACCCGGCUACAUGAAGCUGGAAUCGCUAGUAAUCGCGGAUCAGAAUGCCGCGGUGAAUACGUUCCCGGGUCUUGUACACACCGCCCGUCACACCAUGGGAGUCGGAAAUGCCCGAAGUCAGUGACCUAACCGAAAGGAAGGAGCUGCCGAAGGUGGAGCCGGUAACUGGGGUGAAGUCGUAACAAGGUAAC